ensembl:lncRNA
GAUCUGCAAGUAACGGCCAAUCCCUUUUAUUCACAUAUUACUGUGCAGACAGCGGUCGGAGAUACUGCCAACCACACAACCAGACACCACACGCGUACGCACACUGGGCCUGUGUGACUUGUGCGCUGCUCCACUCGUGUGUGUUAAUUCGCUCCCCAUGAGGCGCUGCAGGCUGUGGUAAUUAUAGAAGCUCGGCUAGCAGACUCAUCACAAGAGAGAAGUACAUUUAAAGCCACGUGCAGCUGCGCGAAUACACCUGUAGCCACGAGACAAGAAACCACCACCUAAAUUCCUC